GCCUGUAUUAGUAUCUUAUAAAAUAUUUGUACUGAGAGACGGGUAGUCGGUCAAUUAAUUUAAAGUCUUUAUCAAUUUAGAAAAUAUUAAGAGUCAGCGUAACAAGCUGAAAGUUGUAAGGUUUGUAUGAUUGAAAUGUCUCACGGCGUGAAGCUCUAGUUAGUAUUUUAAGCCGUUGUAAAUUAGUAGUUAUUUGGAAUUGUGACGUUCCCGGUGGGAAAAGUAGUGGCUUGAAGAUCGUUAAAGUUUCAAAUUUAUUAGAACUUAUAGUUAAAAGAAUACUUACAAUUAUUUUAACAGCAUUGAUUUUUGAUUAUUGUGUUGACGAACUAGCCGAGGUGUUACAAGAGUGCCAUGAGAAUCAACUCCCCCUUCAACUCCCCAAAGACCUGUCAACCAGCAGUCUACAAAAAGGGGAGCUCGCCUGCUGCUCGCCGCCUUCCGCCUUUAGCCUUUUUGCCUUUUCCCUUAUCUCCGGCCCGGGGUCAUGCUCUGCUGUAUCCGUUCUCUCUCCACAUGUUACUCAUUUCUAUUAUAGAUUCCUCGCACUACUAGUACUACCUGUUCCCGAUAGAUCCUUCCAGAAUUAGGCUAUGGAGUUCCUUUCCUGAGGUAAAAAUCUUACGUAAACCUUAAUCCAUCGUUCAUAAUCAUAGCACUUUUCCACUUGUUAACGUUGACGAUUGUAGUAUUAUAGUUAUUUCCUGUGUACUAAUUAUUAGUUCUAAUAGUUAUUAAUUUCCAGGCAAUAUGACAGUGAUACCCACCCCACUUGCUCUGCCUGUCCUCACCUAAGCUCCACCAGUCGUAUUGCUUCAUUGAUUCCCCCCUCCUUCCUCGAGAACCGUUCGUCACUAUGUUAGAUCCUCGAGAUGACCAUGCAAGAUGGUUCAGUUCUAGUUGACAUUCCACUAUAUGAAAAGACCAGAUCGCCACUUUAUAUUCUUAUUCCUUGAGAGAGAGAGAGAACCGGAACAGCGACCUCGUGAAUCAUCCUAUUUAAUCGCUUCACCCUCGCCACAUUCGCUACUACUUCAAUUAUUGGGCAAGUACACAAGUAGACCCUGGAACUUAUAACCCUGCUGAGAAUAGUGACCAAAUUGUGUCGGAAAAUUACGGACAGUACUAUGACAAUAAAGAUAACUACGACCAGAAUAGGCACUACAAUUACAACGACUUUACUUUUAAAUAUUAACUUAUGGUAAUUCAAAUGUUUGUUUGUACGAUUAUAUUUAAUUUUGUUGGCUGUGCGCGAGAAAUUCGAUAAUUCUUUAAAUUAAUGAUUUUUUACUAUAAGAACGGGCAUACCUUAUUACUAAUGGUUCUUUUGAAAUUUUUUUUU